rnacentral:rRNA from 1 species
AUGCUACAGAUUAAUCUGCACCGUCAAGCCGCCACUCUCCUCCCAGCGAUGGAUCUCUCAUCUACCCGGCAGCAGGCCAGCAGCUCUCGCCACCGCCCUCCUCCUAGCGUGCUCCUCUUGCCGCAGCAGCAGCAGCGGCCAGCGCUGCAGUGGGGCAUGCAGCAGCAGCGGCGGCGGCGGCGCGGGCGCAGCAGCAGCGGUACCGCGGUGGCGAGGGCGCAGCAGCGCGGCGGCGAGGGCACAUCAGCAGCACGGCGGCGAGGGCGCAGCAGCAGCACCGCGGCGGCGGGAGGGUGCUCCAGAUCUAGCGUUGGCUUGUAUCCCUUCCGUGUCCCAGCCGUGUCCUCCCUUUUCUUUCUUUCUUUUAAUUCUUAA